rnacentral:SRP_RNA from 1 species
CCGCGCUAGGUGGGGGGCUCGGGGUCCCCUGAACCGGAAACCCUCGAUACGCCGGGCCGAUUACCCGCUUGCGGCCCGCGGUUGACCGGGCAGCCCCCGGUGACGAGCGUCGAUGGUCGAGUCCCGCGCGACUCGGAGCCGUGAACCCGGUCAGGCCCGGAAGGGAGCAGCCGUAAGCGGUGUACCGAGAGUGCCGCGGGCGAGCUCGGCCGGAGCUUCGUUACCGGGAAAGCGACGGCCGUCUGCGGGUCCAGAGCGGGGCGCGCGG